rnacentral:rRNA from 1 species
UACAGAGGGGGCAAGCGUUAUUCGGAAUUAUUGGGCGUAAAGGGCGCGUAGGCGGCCUGGCAAGUGGAAGGUGAAAUCCCUCGGCUUAACCGAGGAACUGCCCUCCAAACUGCUUGGCUUGAGACCGGGAGAGGUGAGUGGAAUUCCCAGUGUAGCGGUGAAAUGCGUAGAUAUUGGGAGGAACACCAGUGGCGAAGGCGGCGACCUGGGCCAAUACUGACGCUGAGGUGCGAAAGCGUGGGGAGCAAACAGGG